GGAUUUGAUUAUGGGGCAUGUUUCAACCAAUAUAGGAAAAAAUGCCUCUGCAUGCAAUUGGAUAGACCUAACCAAUCAGAGCAAUGAAAUACAGUAUAUGA